GGCUCCGGCAGCGAGCCCACGCCAGGGCCCCAGGCUGCAGGGGGAGUUUUCCGGCUCUUGCAGCGGCGAGGAGCGGCUCGGCAUGCAGGGAGGAGACGCCGAAGAGGCGAGGCCAGCCGGGGCCGCUCUGCAGGUCCUGGUGACAUUUGAGGACAUUGCCAUCUAUUUCACCCGGGAGGAGUGGGAGAUGCUGGCAGAGUGGCAGAAGGAGCUGUAUCGGGACGUGAUGAAGGAACAUUAUGACAAUCUGAUUUCCCUGGGCCAUGCAGGCACCACGCCUGAUGUGUUAUCGCGGAUCGAACGAGGGGAAGAGCCGUGGGUCAUGGAUCAGCAGGAGGAAAGAGAGAGGCUGGAAUGCACCUUGCAUGAGGGUGCAGGCCUGAGCAGAACUGAGCAGCAGCAGCAGCAGGAGGAAGGUCCUGGGAACUUGGAGCCACAGGGGACUUUACCAAGUAGGUCGGAAGAGAGAGUUUUCCAGAGCCCCGAGCGGGAAGAAACUUGCCAGAGGCAGCGCAGGUCGCUGAGGCUGCAGCUGAUCUUGGCGGGGAAUGAGCCAGCUACCCCAAGGGACUGCGAAAGGGGUGGCCAGGAACCUCCGAGGCUCCCUGCGCAGGGAAGACCAAAGACGAGCCAGAGCCCAGCUACGUGUCACAUGUGUGGACUUGGCUUCGAGGGAGAGAGAGCCCUUAGCAGACACAAACGCAGCAUCCACAAGAUAAAGGAUCCACACCAGUGCCAAGUGUGUGGGAAGUGCUUCCGGCUACGGCAGGACCUCAGGAGGCACCAGAGGACCCACACGGGGGAGAAGCCCUACCUUUGCACUCACUGUGGGAAGAGGUUCAGCCAGACCGCCAAUCUCUGCACCCACAAGAAGAUGCACAGGGGGGAGCGGCCGUACCCCUGCGCCAUCUGUGGCAAGAGCUUCCGGCAGAAGCAGCAGCUGGUGUCACACAGCCGGAUCCACACGGGGGAGCGGCCCUACCCCUGCACGCAGUGUGCCAAGAGCUUCCGCUGGAAGCAGGCGCUCAGGGUCCACCAGAAAACCCACGUGGGAGAAGGUGGCUCUGAGGGGAGCCAGGCCAAAGGGCGGGCCUUCACCUGCCCCAAGUGCAAGGCCGUCUUCGCUCACAGGCACGACUUCCUAACGCACCGACAAGCACACGCCAGCGAGCGGACCUACCAGUGUGCCGACUGCGGGAGGUGUUUCAGACAGCGGCAGCAGCUGAUUCCGCACCGCCGGAUCCACACCGGGGAGCGGCCCUACAACUGCCCGCUCUGCGGGAAGAGCUUCCGGCGCAGGCAGGAGCUGACCACGCACCAGAGAAUCCACACGGAUGAGAGGCCCUUCCGCUGCCCCGAGUGCCCGCUCAGCUUCAGGGAGAAGCAGAAGCUGAGGAGACACCAGAGAAUCCACACGGGCGAGAGGCCCUAUGCCUGCUCGGAGUGCGAGAAACGCUUCCGGCAGAAGCAGCAGAUGGUGUCCCACCUCCGGAUCCACACGGACGAGCGGCCCUAUGCCUGCUCAGAGUGCGGGAAACACUUCCGGCGAAAAGACUCCCUCGCCAAACACCAGAGAACCCACCAAAGGGCGCAGACAUAGGGCUUGUCUACACUACCACUUAAGUCAAUGUAACUGAGUUGCUCGGGGAUGUGAAAAAGCCCCCCCCCCCCACACACACACACACACAAGCGACACAAGUUACAUGGACUUAGCACAGUGUGGACAGCGCUUUAUGUCGGCGGGAGACACUCUCCCACUGACAUAGUUUCCUCCUCUCGUUGAGGUGGAGUGAUUACGCCGACGGCCGAGCACUCUCCUAUGGCACAGUGCAUCUUCGCCAGACGCACUACCGCGGCGCAUGGUAGUGUAGACUAGACCAUAGUCAAUGCAGUCGUCCUGCCCCAAACUCCCUCCUCACUUCCCCCGUGGAGGGGAAACUGCUUCCACAGGGACUCGGAGAAACCACCCCCGGAGCCAUCACCCCUUCAUAGCUCCUGGCAGAGAAUGGAGGGGAAGAAACACGACAGACACACUCCACCCCGGAGAAGGUGAAGGAGCUUCACCUCCAUUCCCUCAAAAGAUUGCAAGCUCUUUGGGGCAUGGACUCUCUCUGUUUGCAUAGCCCUAUGCACAGCGUGGCCUUGAUCCGGACUCCAGCCUCUGGGUGCUACCACCUUACAAAUAAUAAUAAUGAAAAGAUGAUUUCUCCAAUGUAAUCUGGAGGUCAACGCUCAUUUGACAGAAAGCGUCAGUCUGGCAGAGCUGUGCAAAACUGGUGAGAAAUGUCUCUGUGAAAUCUUGCAGAAACAUUUUUGUGUGAUCUUGGGCCUCUUAUUUCACUUUUCCACUCAUCCAGAUCAUGCCUAAAUAUUGCUUUUUCUUUCAUAAAAUUUAAAAAAUGUUUUAAAACCUUUCUGUUCUAUCCCACCAUCUGAAACUCUCAUCUGUGCUCCAAUAUUCUCCAAUCCUGAUUACCACAGUCGUCGUUUCCACAACGCCUUAUUGGCCCUUUCCAAUUCAUCCAAAAUGCAGCUGCUCUGGGCCGGGAAGCCAUGGAGGAAAGCACUGUCUUCGCUUCUGGAAAUGAUCACGAAAUUGCCAGAGUACUCCUCAAAUAUUAAAAUACAGGCCUUGCAAGGAGCUUUUCAUAGUGGACAGGCUUUUGGGAGUGCCUAUAAAUUGUGAAAUCCUGGAGCUGCAGGAGUAUGAAGUAAAUAUGCCUCAGCUACUUCUGGAGAAUAAGACAAGUGACGACAGCAGCUUGAGAGAGUGAUUCUAGAUGGGUGGCCAGCUAGUGAAAGGUCAGGAAGUUCCAAGCAUUUAAUGUAGUUGGAAUCAAAGAGAUGAAGUUGUUGCAUGUGACUGGAUUCUGUACAGAGGACACCAUGCUAAGCAGAUGGAUGGUGUCCUCUGGGAAGUGAGUAGUGGGCAGUGAGUAGAGCCUGAUGUAGCUUGUCUGGUCUGACCUCCAUCUAGAUCGUAAAUUUACGAGCUGGCUGUAUUCGUGGGGGUUUUGGGGUGAUCUGUUUUAUUUGUGUUUGAUCUUCAAAAGGAAAAAAAUAGGAAGAUUAACAGUGCCCCUGAAAUCAGCAGAUCCUGAUGCUUGUCAUGUGUCAUGCCAUGUAUUCUCUUUUGUACUCGAUUGGGGCUAGGAAAUAAAAAUCGGGCUCUUAGCGCA